UUAACAUUGAUGAGGUGGCAGCAGUACGAUGACCACUCGAGUACUGAAACGUAUAAAUGGCCGGAACUGAGGUAGCUCCAAACUGGAAGUGAAAUCCCCCUUCCUCAGUCCACAAAGCUCUCUGAUUCAUUGUCCUAUCACCACUCGUACAUGCUCCGUCUCAGUUUUAAUUCAAAGAAAUUUACAAGAGGAUGAAGGAGGCUUUGGAUUUUGUACUGUCCAUGGAAUUCUGGAGAAUGGGCCUGCUAUGGACUCUCAGCCUUCUCAUCCCUUACUGGAACCUCCUUUUCGCCUCGACUACUCCUCCUUCCAGAUCAUCACCUCCCUCAUUUCAAUCCUCUGCAUCGUCACCGGUGUUACUUCUUGAUUGGGUGCUGCGGCGGCCAUGCUCUCUCCGCUCAUGGCUUCUUUGUGGUUCUUGCUCAUAAUCAAAUCCUGUAUGCAGUUGAACGCUUAUCUCACUUGUUAGAAAAGACGAUGAUGGAAAUUAAGAGGAAGAAUGAGAGUGCGCAUCUGAAAGCCUUCGAGGUUGAUCUCUCAUCAUUCCAGUCGAUUCUUCAGUUUAAAGCCUCCCUACAGCAGUGGCUUUCCCACUUGCAAAUGCACCCUUCAAUCCAACUCCUAAUUAACGAUGCUGGAAUAUUUGCUGCAUCGUCUACAUGCACCUCCGAAGUCUAUGAUCGGUAAUGACUUUAUUUAUCUUUUAUCUGUGUUCUGCUUUAGGAAUGUAGCCUUGUUUGAUGGCUACAAAUUACUUGAAUACAUUUUCUCGAGUAAACUAUUGUCACCACUUCUCAGAAACAGUCCAGUUUCUUCCCGUAUAGUGAAUGUCACAUCUUUCACACAUGGAAGUGGUGAGUAAGAAUCUUUCUAAUAUUUGAUAUUGUUCUGGAUAUGGCUUAAUUCAAGUAGAGUUUGGUUUUAAAAAGUGGCUUUGUCCUGUACUUUAUUGAUCUGUUCUAUGAAUUUGGCAGAUCAAAAGGAAACCCAUAUGCUCAUGUCUACGAGUAUUCCAAAUUGCUGUGGAUUCUAGUGUUGUUGAAACCAACAUCAAGUGAGAAGUUCCUCCAUGCUUAUCCAGUUUAGCUUUCAAAGUUUUGAGACUUCUGUGCCUCUUGCAGUCACCUGAAGUUGGAAUUAGCUCCAUUCUUGUCGCAGCACUUGCUUCACCAGAACAUCUGGAGUUUACUUUUUUGGUGGAAAGGGCCAGACUUUCAGCUCUUCUAUGCUUUCAUAUGAUGCUAAACUUGCAAAGGAACUUUGGAAUACAUCGUCUGAUCUAUUCUUAGAGUCACAGCUUGCUUUCAAGGAAACCUCUACUUCUGUAUCAAAUUGUGUAUCAUAGGUAAGAAGCAGUUUACAUAUAAAUGGAUGUGUCAAUUAUAAGGUGUUUGAGUUGAUUGAUGACCUGUUCAUUGUUAUGCCUGGCUUAUGGAGUAUAGCAGCAUGGUAUAACUUAGGCAACCAUGGUAUAACUUUAUAGAGUGGAUAGCUGACCAGUAGCAGGCAAACAUAUCUCAAAAAUUACAAAGAAUUUAUAUUUGGAUGUAGCUCAUUGAAGGAAAGGAACCAUAUGAAUUUUAGAAAUGUGAUUAGUCCUGCAAAAGUCGUACUCAUACCUAUGUCUAUUAUUACCCCCAGUGGGAGCUGAUUUUGCUCCUUCAAGCUUAAACCAUAAUCUUUCA